GAUGAACGCUGGCGGCGUGCCUAAUACAUGCAAGUCGAGCGAACGGACGAGAAGCUUGCUUCUCUGAUGUUAGCGGCGGACGGGUGAGUAACACGUGGAUAACCUACCUAUAAGACUGGGAUAACUUCGGGAAACCGGAGCUAAUACCGGAUAAUAUUUUGAACCGCAUGGUUCAAAAGUGAAAGACGGUCUUGCUGUCACUUAUAGAUGGAUCCGCGCUGCAUUAGCUAGUUGGUAAGGUAACGGCUUACCAAGGCAACGAUGCAUAGCAGACCUGAGAGGGUGAUCGGCCACACUGGAACUGAGACACGGUCCAGACUCCUACGGGAGGCAGCAGUAGGGAAUCUUCCGCAAUGGGCGAAAGCCUGACGGAGCAACGCCGCGUGAGUGAUGAAGGUCUUCGGAUCGUAAAACUCUGUUAUUAGGGAAGAACAUAUGUGUAAGUAACUGUGCACAUCUUGACGGUACCUAAUCAGAAAGCCACGGCUAACUACGU
rnacentral:rRNA from 1 species